rnacentral:rRNA from 1 species
UACGUAGGGGGCAAGCGUUGUCCGGAAUUAUUGGGCGUAAAGAGCGCGUAGGCGGUCCGGUAAGUCGGUUGUGAAAGUCGGGGGCUCAACCCUCGGAUGCCGAUCGAUACUGCCGUGGCUAGAGUCCGGUAGGGGAGCAUGGAAUUCCUGGUGUAGCGGUGAAAUGCGCAGAGUAUCAGGAGGAACACCAGUGGCGGAAGGCGGAUGCUCGUG